rnacentral:lncRNA from 12 species
GUGACCAGGCACCAGCAUCUUGCUUCCAUUACUUCUGUCCUCUGACAGUGUUUAAGCCCUAUGGAACAUCAGCCCAUGGAAGGCAAUGGGUGGGCAGAUUGUCUACUAAAACAGGUCUCAUCCCUUCAAAACAAAGGACCCAUGGGCAGCCUGAGCCUGGUAAUGCUCCACUGCUGGCAUUUCUUGCUCCGUGGGACCAGCCAACAGCUUAGCAGCAUCCUGCUUUCGGUUCACCUUUAUACUUAGUCAUGAAAGGUUGACAAGACAGAAAUGUGAUGGCUUCACUGCACCCACAAGUCAAGAAAAAGACAAUGACUUCUUCUUUCAAGUGAGUCCUGCUGAAGGUCCAGCUUACAAAUGGGUUGAAGUGGGCCUUUAGCUGAGUCACAUAAGACUCAUCACCAAAUCCCUCAGUGUGUUGUAAGCAGUUAGUGCUGAAGAAGGAAGAAACAUGACAAGCUGUAUCUAUGACAGUCUGUUUCUUGUGAAUGUCUUGCCUUUAAUUACAAAUAAUCAGAGUUUGACUUAGUCCCCAAACAGGAAACUUCUCUCUCUUUUUCAAAAUGUUAUUGAUUACAAACUCUGAUUAGAUGGCCUUGCUAUUUAUAGAAUUGGCAAGGUCUCUGAUUUGAUUCUAGAGUCAACCUACAGCCAAGCUGUCCAAAGUCAAACUGUAUGUGAAAUAAAAGCAAUUUUCCUAUUUUGGUGAAAAUUUCAGUCACAGAAGUCACAGUCAUUUGAGAGAAUCUGGUGGCUGGAGUUUCAGAGGAUGUUUUGCCAAGAAAUCACCUGAUGGAGAAAGCUGCUUGCAGCAGUACACCUUCCCUCUCCGCCCUUUUUUUUUUUUUUUUUUAAAUCUAUUUUUUUCCAGGAAGUCAUCAUUCCUGCAGCCUGGGGUAGGAGGGAGUGCUGCAUUCAAAAGACCACCAAAGAGAGCCCCUGCUCCCAGUGAGCUCCUGCAGACACAUUGCAGCAGAAGGAGAAAGCAAGGAACAGGAAUGUGAAUGGAUACAUUCUGGUCAUAAGGCAAGUCUGCUGGAACACCUGGGAACAGACUGUGGACUCCUGGCCCUCCUGCAUCCGGCUUCACUGCAGCUGUACUUUGUGCCUUGGAGCUCAGCAUGGGAGGAGCAGCAGGAACCAUCCAGGCCAGGCAAAGUGACCAAGUCAUUGCUCAACCUGCCCACUUACAUCUUCCUGGGGUUUCAGUGGAAUUUUUGUCAGCAGAGCACCCUACGUGUUGAAGGAUGUCAGAACAUGGGCUACUAUUGCACCAUCGAUAAAUUUAGAGUUGACAUCUGUUGGGGGCUGCUGAGCAAGAUGCACUCAGCCGACCCAUUGUGAAGAAGUGGUGCUGGCAUUUGUCCAUGCACCAGGAUAUUUUACAGAAUGUCAUCACUUGGUAAUGAAAUGCUCCCCAGUAACGAUGGCUCAUGAACACAGAAAUAGCCUUUGCCCAUAAUAAAGUUUUGCAAAUAAUGCUUGCAGGAAGUGAUUUGCUACGAAUCAAUCAAGCAGAUCCCAGAAAUAAUGUGGCAGAUGGUAACCCGACAUUUCUACAAUAUCACCAAACUACUUCUUACUCGCACUUUAAACAACCAUUUGGACUCUGGUCUUUAAAAAAAAAUGUUCUCUCUCACUCUACAGCUGGUUGAAGCUAAAUUGUCACCCCACAGAAAAUUCUAUCCUUAGAGGUCAGUAAAAGGCAGAAUGAAAUUAAAAGUCUAAAAUGCCCCUCAACGCAAAAUAAAAAAAAAAAU